rnacentral:tRNA from 16 species
GCGGGUGUAGCUCAAUGGUAGAGCCCUUGCCUUCCAAGCAAGUUACGUGAGUUCGAUUCUCAUCACCCGCUCCA